rnacentral:misc_RNA from 1 species
CGAAAGCGUUUUUUAUAACAGCGCAAAACCCACUGUGAACAUACCUGUUUGUUGCUUCGGCAGGCGGCCCCAGGGCGGGGCCAGCAGCCUGUAUUUUUUUUCAGGCGCCUGCCGGAGGCCACUUCAAACUCUUUUGUAUACGUACUGUCUGAGCCUAAAACAAAAUACGUUA